rnacentral:rRNA from 1 species
AGUUUGAUCAUGGCUCAGGAUGAACGCUAGCUGGAGGCUUAAUACAGGCAAGUCGAGCGGGAUUGGGGUAGUAAUACCCCAUGAGAGCGGCGAACGGGUGAGUAACGCGUACACGAUCUACCUUUGACUGGGGGAUAGCCCUGGGAAACUGGGAUUAAUACCGCAUAUAAUUCUGAAAAAUAAAGAUUUGGAAUGAAAGUUCAGGCGGUCGGAGAUGGGUGUGCGUCUGAUUAGCUAGUUGGUAGGGUAACGGCCUACCAAGGCGAUGAUCAGUAGGGGGCGUGAGAGCGUGGUCCCCCACACGGGUACUGAGACACGGACCCGACUCCUACGGGAGGCAGCAGUAAGGAAUAUUGGACAAUGGCCGCAAGGCUGAUCCAGCCAUCCAGCGUGCAGGAAGAAGGCCCUAUGGGUUGUAAACUGCUUUUAUCAGGGAAGAAACCUCAGGAUUUACUUCUGAGCUGACGGUACCUGAAGAAUAAGCACCGGCUAACUCCGUGCCAGCAGCCGCGGUAAUACGGAGGGUGCGAGCGUUAUCCGGAAUUACUGGGUUUAAAGGGUGCGUAG